UACAGAGGUCCCAAGCGUUGUUCGGAUUCAUUGGGCGUAAAGGGUGCGUAGGCGGCGCGGUAAGUCGGGUGUGAAAUCUCGGAGCUUAACUCCGAAACUGCAUUCGAUACUGCCGUGCUUGAGGACUGGAGAGGAGACUGGAAUUUACGGUGUAGCGGUGAAAUGCGUAGAUAUCGUAAGGAAGACCAGUGGCGAAGGCGGGUCUCUGGGCCGUAACUGACGCUGAGGAGCGAAAGCGUGGGGAGCGAACAGG
rnacentral:rRNA from 1 species